AAAUUGAAGAGUUUGAUCAUGGCUCAGAUUGAACGCUGGCGGCAGGCCUAACACAUGCAAGUCGAACGGUAGCACAGAGAGCUUGCUCUCGGGUGACGAGUGGCGGACGGGUGAGUAAUGUCUGGGAAACUGCCCGAUGGAGGGGGAUAACUACUGGAAACGGUAGCUAAUACCGCAUAACGUCGCAAGACCAAAGUGGGGGACCUUCGGGCCUCACACCAUCGGAUGUGCCCAGAUGGGAUUAGCUAGUAGGUGGGGUAACGGCUCACCUAGGCGACGAUCCCUAGCUGGUCUGAGAGGAUGACCAGCCACACUGGAACUGAGACACGGUCCAGACUCCUACGGGAGGCAGCAGUGGGGAAUAUUGCACAAUGGGCGCAAGCCUGAUGCAGCCAUGCCGCGUGUAUGAAGAAGGCCUUCGGGUUGUAAAGUACUUUCAGCGAGGAGGAAGGCGUUGUGGUUAAUAACCACAGCGAUUGACGUUACUCGCAGAAGAAGCACCGGCUAACUCCGUGCCAGCAGCCGCGGUAAUACGGAGGGUGCAAGCGUUAAUCGGAAUUACUGGGCGUAAAGCGCACGCAGGCGGUUUGUUAAGUCAGAUGUGAAAUCCCCGGGCUCAACCUGGGAACUGCAUUUGAAACUGGCAAGCUUGAGUCUCGUAGAGGGGGGU
rnacentral:rRNA from 1 species